UGUAAAUUCUUGCCUUUGUG
rnacentral:snRNA from 1 species